GCUUACAGAGUAAUUCAGUCUCUCUCUUUCCAACCACAGGGCACCAAGAAAACCAUUUGCAUUAUGCACAAGAAAACUCUGACUAGAUAUAUUAAGUGAGGCACUUACUACUCAACUUAUGUUGGUGGUCUUGGAUGUGAAAACUAACAGAAGCUGGAACGAGUCAAAUAAUUGCAUAUACAAGAACAAGGUGGCAGAAUUCAAAAGAAGAAAAACAAGUGACA
rnacentral:misc_RNA from 1 species